rnacentral:rRNA from 1 species
AUUGAACGCUGGCGGCAGGCCUAACACAUGCAAGUCGAGCGGAUGAAGGGAGCUUGCUCCUGGAUUCAGCGGCGGACGGGUGAGUAAUGCCUAGGAAUCUGCCUGGUAGUGGGGGAUAACGUCCGGAAACGGGCGCUAAUACCGCAUACGUCCUGAGGGAGAAAGUGGGGGAUCUUCGGACCUCACGCUAUCAGAUGAGCCUAGGUCGGAUUAGCUAGUUGGUGGGGUAAAGGCCUACCAAGGCGACGAUCCGUAACUGGUCUGAGAGGAUGAUCAGUCACACUGGAACGGAGACACGGUCCAGACUCCUACGGGAGGCAGCAGUGGGGAAUAUUGGACAAUGGGCGAAAGCCUGAUCCAGCCAUGCCGCGUGUGUGAAGAAGGUCUUCGGAUUGUAGAGCACUUUAAGUUGGGAGGAAGGGCAGUAAGUUAAUACCUUGCUGUUUUGACGUUACCAACAGAAUAAGCACCGGCUAACUUCGUG